GUCCCUAUCGUCUAGAGGCCUAGGACAUCGCCCUUUCACGGCGGUAACACGAGUUCGAAUCUCGUUGGGGACGCCA
rnacentral:tRNA from 17 species